rnacentral:rRNA from 1 species
UACGAAGGGGGCUAGCGUUGCUCGGAAUCACUGGGCGUAAAGCGCACGUAGGCGGAUUGCUAAGUCGGGGGUGAAAUCCUGGAGCUCAACUCCAGAACUGCCUUCGAUACUGGCGAUCUUGAGUCCGGGAGAGGUGAGUGGAACUCCGAGUGUAGAGGUGAAAUUCGUAGAUAUUCGGAAGAACACCAGUGGCGAAGGCGGCUCACUGGCCCGGUACUGACGCUGAGGUGGCGAAAGCG